GAUUAACUCCGCGGGGAGCAGCGGCGGAGGCUGAGCCGGCGCUCCCGCCACGCAUCGCCUGCUUCCCAGCACGCUCAGGAGUUUUGGAGCCAACCUCCCGGCAGCUAAUCCUCCUCGCUGCCGGAGCCGGGGGCGCCGGGAAGAGCCGGCAGGGCGGCAGGUGAAGGGAAGAGAACGGGGAGGAGUGCCCACACACACACGCGUGCACCCCGCACACGGCAUCGGGCAGCGGCGGCGGAUCGGCGGAUGCGUGCGGGGAGCUCCGCCGGGAGCCCAGCCCGGAAUGAAACAAGCUGGAGCAUCAGGAGAGAGGAGCUGUUCGCUUGGAAAAGUCUUUAAGGAAUCGAUCGGGAGAUGCCGGUAAGAGAAGUUGCUGAAAGCCAAGCUGGAAUGGCCAGGAGCUGCGCGCCGCCGGCCCCGUCUCACACCGGGGCAGCUGAACUUUGUGGGGUCUGAACAUUUUUCUCCCCUGCGAACGCUCUGGGCAGCGCUGACGGGAGAGCCAGGACAGCACCGCGCACCUUGAGCCUGACAGAGCCUGGGGUAGUGCCAAGGGGGGAUUUCUGUCUCAACAAGGACCAUCGCCUCUGAAAAAAAAAAAAAAAAAGCUGGAGAAGGGCAAUUAAUCUUUCUUUUCCAGAUGACUGAAAAUAUCUACAGGAUCCUGUCUCUCCGGUUUUCAUUGGUGAGUAGCAUAAGAGACAGGCAACUGAGGAACAGAAAUGAUAUCGGUCAAAAUCAUUCCAGCACCUACUUUUUCCUAAGGAACUUCAUGCCCAUAGGGGUUUUCUGUGGGCACUUCCAGGAGUGAGACCAAGGUACCACAGAUGUGUCCCUACCGGAUCAUGUAAGAAUUUGCAAAUGAGAAACGUACCCUAUCCAGACCUUCUCUGCCCGCUUUGCAGUACAUGGUUUGGUGUAAGCACAGCAAUUCUCACCUCUUUCUUUCCCUUUUAAGUCUCUUGAGCUUGGAGACCUCUUUCCUCAUUGCAAUUAUGAUUAUUUGCAACAUCAGUGCCAUCAAAGAUUGGAGCACUUUCCUUUCCCAAAUCCUCCCCAGCGUUAACAAGACUCUGAACUUGGUACAGCAAGUGGAAGCCACCACCAGCUCGGUGUACUCAUACUCGGACAAUGACCAGCUCUACAAGGAGUACAAACCCCCUCCUCGAGACGCCAUUCCUCUGCCCAAGGCUGUCCUCUACCUCCUCAUGGCAGCCCUGGUGGUGGUGGCAGUGGCGUACGCCAUCGUCGGGCAUCUCAUCAAGGACCUCAUUUACGACUUUGUAGACUGGAUCUUUGGCCCCAGCCCAGAUGACAACAGCAACAAGAGCGACAUCAACUGCAUCAGCAACAGCGUCAACGAGAUGAGCGAGAUGCCCGAGGCGCCGCGGCACCGGGAGCGCCAGCCCCAGGACGUGGUCAUUGCCAUCAGCGAGACUUGUCACUUGCCACAGCAAACGUGACCGGCGCCACCUCCGGGCCAGGCGGGAUGGAGCAGCGGGAUGGAGCAGCGGGAUGGAGAGGGAUGGAGCAGAAGGAUGGAGCAGUGAAACAGUGCAGAAGGACCAGGCAGGGAGAGGAAGGGAUGGGCAAAGCUGGCACCGUGGAGCAAAGCCCUUCUCCCCCUGGUUUUACCAGCCUCUAAGGACCUUGUGGGGGUGGGUGGCAUCACCCCUUCUCCCAGGCUUGUCAGCCCUGUCCUGACGUCUGCCCUUGGGUUUGUGACCCCCUCUUUGUUCCCUGUGAAUAGCAAAAAAGAAAAAGCAAAUGCAAAAUGCACCCACCAGACAAAGCUUGCAAGAGAAAUGAGCCAGAGAGAGGCCGGGCGGUCCUUUGGCGUGUGGCUGUCCAGUGGUGUGGGAAUGGCGUGGGGAAAAGGGCAAAGGUGACAAGGAGGCUACAGAGAAAUGUGGUUGUCUGCAUUUCUGGGGACAGGCCCAGGACACAGCAGGGAGGUGGGAGCUGCAGAAAGGCACAGAAAGGUCAGUAGGGGCCAAAUCCUCCAGUACACUGGUGAUCUGCCUGGGCCGUCACUCCUGUUUUUAGUUUUGCAGCUCCAGCUCACAGCCCUUUUCAGCAGAUGUGUCCUGUGGCUCUGGGACAGCAGGGUGACAGCCCAAACCUCCCAGGGAGCCUUAUUCUCUAGGCCUGUAGCCAUUCCAGGGCCAUCACAUUCCCUCCACCACAUCUCUGCUUGAGCCCAGCACUCCCUGACAGGGAGCAGCCCUGUUGGGGCCGGGUACAACCCCUUUUUCUGAGGAAUAUUGCUGGAGAGGACAGGGACUCAUCUGCAUAAAAUCCAAACUCUUCAUGGGGGAAAAUAGCCCUUGUAUGUCUGCAUCCUUCAGAUUCAUCCCAGCAUGAUCACCUCCUACAUCACCCCCAACUUCCUGCCACCCCAAGGGGUGCUGGCUCUGUAGUGGGGUCAUCCCCUUGUGCAUUGAUGGAGCAGGGACACCUCCCUCUUCUCCCUGGAUGCCUUCCUCUUUCCAGCCAGAGCACCACCAACCAAAACUGUCCUUCUCUGUGCCCAAACACAUCCUUUCCCAUUUGUAACUCCAGGGAGAUCCCUGCUCCUCUCUGUUUAAGGGGCUCAGGGGAAGUUCCCAAACCAUGUGGGGAAGAGAGUAUCCUGAUGGCUUCAUUGCUGUUUUAAGAUCAGUUCUUAUCCCAAUAAGGAUUUUAAACCAGGAUCCAUAAUUUCUCUGUGUAGCAGAGUGGAGGCACUGGCACCAAGCUCAUUCCUUGUUCCUCUCCCUUAUGAAGAUCCCUUUACUCUCCACAUCCUCCCUGAACUUAAAAAAGGUUACACUGAUGUGCCACAGAGCCAGUCCCGAGAAAGGGCCGUGGUCCAGAAUUCUGCCUCUGCAUUCAGGGAGACAAAUCCUGCCUUUUCCCAGCCUGCAGUACCCAGCACACCACAAAUAGCAGGGGCCAGAACAGCAUUUUCCCCUUCUGAGAGCACUUAAGGAAAAUGGAUGUGGUUUCAAACUCCUGCUCCAACGGCUUUAAUGAGAGCCAUUACCAGCAGUCCCACGCUGGGGCUUUGUCGGCUUUUCAGCAAGCAAAGGCGGAGGAAGUACCUCAGACCUCCCCCCGUAAUUAACCAUUUCCGAUCAGACAGUGUUUUCCUACCUUUUUUUUUUUUUUUUUUUUUUUUUUUUUUUUUUUUUUAAUCCUGGGUGUGUAGCGUGGCUGCUCGGGCACCUGCCAGGCUUCCCCAGUACUGCUGGGGCUGCGGGGGGAGCUGGACAGGGAUGGAGAGCUGGACAGCACGGGGGGGAUGCUGGAGCAUGAUCCCACCAGUGACUGUCAGCCCCUGGGAAUAAAGUUGCAGCACCAGAGCUGGCA
rnacentral:lncRNA from 1 species